rnacentral:misc_RNA from 1 species
GGAAUAAAAGUCGUAACAAGGUUUCCGUAGGUGAACCUGCGGAAGGAUCAUUAUUGUAUAACCGAGGUGCGAGGGCUGUCGCUGACCCGAAAGGUCGUGCACGCCCGAGUGCCCUCACACACAUCCAUCUCACCCCUAUGUGCACCACCGCGUGGGUCCCCCUUUGGCUUGUUCGGAGGGGGGCUUACGUUUUCACACAAACUCUGUAUGCAGUGUAGAAUGUAUUUUUUGUUUUUGCGAUCACGCAAUCAAUACAACUUUCAACAACGGAUCUCUUGGCUCUC